rnacentral:rRNA from 1 species
UGGCGGACGGGUGAGUAAUGCGUGAGCAACCUGCCCUUCAGAGGGGGACAACAGUUGGAAACGACUGCUAAUACCGCAUGAUGUUCCCGGGAGGCAUCUUCUGGGAACCAAAGAUUUAUCGCUGAAGGAUGGGCUCACGUCUGAUUAGCUAGUUGGUAGGGUAACGGCCUACCAAGGCAACGAUCAGUAGCCGGGUUGAGAGACUGAACGGCCACAUUGGGACUGAGAUACGGCCCAGACUCCUACGGGAGGCAGCAGUGGGGAAUAUUGGGCAAUGGGGGCAACCCUGACCCAGCAACGCCGCGUGAAGGAAGAAGGCUUUCGGGUUGUAAACUUCUUUUACCAGGGACGAAGGACGUGACGGUACCUGGAGAAUAAGCUCCGGCUAACUACGUGCCAGCAGCCGCGGUAAUACGUAGGGAGCGAGCGUUGUCCGGAUUUACUGGGUGUAAAGGGCGCGUAGGCGGGAUAGCAAGUCAGAUGUGAAAUCUGGGGGCUUAACCCCCAAACUGCAUUUGAAACUGUUAUUCUUGAGUGAUGGAGAGGCAAGCGGAAUUCCUAGUGUAGCGGUGAAAUGCGUAGAUAUUAGGAGGAACACCAGUGGCGAAGGCGGCUUGCUGGACAUUAACUGACGCUGAGGCGCGAAA